UUUUUCCUUUGUUGACCCUAACUGCGUAAGUUUGAAUUUCCUUCUACGCUCCUGUGACAACUCAUCUGAUGAAGGGAAUUUCUUGUGGGAUCAAUCUAGCCAUGGUUCCUGAAUGCUGGAUUAUGUAUAAUAUAUUAAGGGAGACUGUGUGCAAUUGGGAGCCUUGUGCAACAACAAAUUGAACGUUGACAGCUUGGUGUGGUUGUCUUUCUGCUGUAAUUCAAUCAAAAAGUUUCUUUACAGUUCUUCGCUUGCAUCCCUUCCAGAAUUUCAAGUAUUGAAUUCCGUUCUCCCUUUCUUCAAUGUGACUUGGAUCCAAUUUGCGAUGUAGUUAUGCCAAAUUGCGGAAUAGCUGCUUGAUUUCAGUGUGGGCUUGAGGCUGGUCCUCUCACACUGUGCGGCAAAAUCAAUUUUUUGAUGUCAACAACUAAAACAUCAAUGAUGUUUACGGUUUGGUUGGAACCAACACAAUGAAGGUCACAGCCACAGCCGGAGAAAGUAUUUUUGCUAUUUUUGCCAUUAAAUUUAGGGAUAAUAAUGUCAAAAAGCUCAAAGCAUUGAUGCAACAGGAACAGACACAAAUUUGGAUUUGGGAAUUCAGGUACCACAACUUAUCACAAUGACAAAAAUAAAAAGAAAAGAAAAAAAAAAGAAAAAAAGAAGUUGACUAGGCCCUUCCAGGUACCAACAGGGUGCAAGUUAUAUGUAGUUAAAUAUUGGGGAAGAAAUUAAGAGUCAGAUUAUCAAAAUAAGUGUUUGCUAAGGUUUGUUUUGAAGCAUGAUUGUGUGGAUGAAAUCCAAAAAAGGAUCUAAUGCUAGUAUUUUUUAGUAAUUAAAUAAACUAAUAACAUAAUAAUUGGAAAUGAGAGACAGAGACGACUUGAGGAUCGCAAGCACAGCGGUGUAAUAUCAGGCACAGAAGAAUGCUUCACCUGUUGUUAUUCUAUAAAACCCUAAAGUAUGCACCAUAAGCUGAGGCGUGUCCAGUUUAUUGUUUAACUUCGAUGCCGGCUCA
rnacentral:lncRNA from 1 species